rnacentral:rRNA from 1 species
AUUGAACGCUGGCGGCAGGCUUAACACAUGCAAGUCGAGCGGGGAAAAGUAGCUUGCUACUUGACCUAGCGGCGGACGGGUGAGUAAUGCUUAGGAAUCUGCCUAUUAGUGGGGGACAACAUCUCGAAAGGGAUGCUAAUACCGCAUACGUCCUACGGGAGAAAGCAGGGGACCUUCGGGCCUUGCGCUAAUAGAUGAGCCGAAGUCGGAUUAGCUAGUUGGUGGGGUAAAGGCCUACCAAGGCGACGAUCGGUAGCGGGUCUGAGAGGAUGAUCCACCACACUGGGACUGAGACACGGCCCAGACUCCUACGGGAGGCAGCAGUGGGGAAUAUUGGACAAUGGGGGGAACCCUGAUCCAGCCAUGCCGCGUGUGUGAAGAAGGCCUUUUGGUUGUAAAGCACUUUAAGCGAGGAGGAGGCUACCGAGAUUAAUACUCUUGGAUAGUGGACGUUACUCGCAGAAUAAGCACCGGCUAACUCUGUGCCAGCCGCCGCAGUAA